GAGUUUCACGUCGGAAGCAUUAAGCACAAAAAUAAACCAUCAACAUAAAUGAAAUAGAGAUUAUAUAUAACCAGCCAGAUUAAAAGAUUACAUGAGAAUUAUAACUAACUAAACCUAAUCCUAAUAACAAAGAGAAUUAGUUAUACAUGAUAACCUUACAAUGAAGAAUUAAAAGAGAUGGAAAGAUGUUGAAUGAUUCCUCCUCUCCCCUUGGUCACUCUCUGCCUCGUGGGAAUUUAUGCUCCUUCUCCCUCUGUUUAUGUGUGUUUUGGUGUGUUGUGUUGCAAGAGUGAAUGAAUUGAUUUUCCAAGGAAUGGCUUCACAUGCCUUCUAUAGGCUUUUAAUGCUAAGCAAAUUGCACAAGGCGGUGCUUACACUAUGAUGAUAUCCUUCAUGGCUAAGUUAGCUUUUAUAAUUAAGAAUAGAAACACUGCUGCAACUCUUUUUGACCAAUAGAAAAUCUUCUUAUCACUUUAAACAAGAGGACAAUUGUGCCUCUUCAUAAUUUUGGUCCAAUGACAAUUUUUCUUAGUCUCCAAUAGGUCUCAUUGCUUCUAUUUUUCCAUUAAGCUCAUAAAACCUACAAAAAUGUGUUGGAAUUAGGUAGAAAUAACAUAAAUGACUAAUUUGUUAAUUAAAACUAAUUUUUACAAUUAGUUGGGUUUUUUUAUAUGAAAUUACUUUUAAAACAAGU
rnacentral:lncRNA from 1 species